rnacentral:lncRNA from 1 species
AAGAGCUGUUUGGUUGGAUAUAAUUCUAAGAAUUAAUUUCAUACAGAUUCCUAUCCAUAUGUUGGAUAGUAAAUAUAUCCCUACAAAGUUCAACUUUCAUAUAUUAUUUCUACAAAAGUCUAAAUGUUUUCAAAUAUGUCCCUGCGGUUAGAAUCCGUUAGAAAAAUUUAGUUAACCAUAGAUUUAAUACUUAACCCUGCUUAGUUUUUGUCAAUUUUACCCCUCUUAUAUUAUAUUGUUAUGACUUUUGGAGGGGCAUAUUUGUGAUGGCAAAAUUAAAAAUAUAAACGUUUAUUUAAUCAUUCUCUAACGGUAACAAACCAGAGGGAUAUAUUUGAAAAUAUUAAAACUUUUGUAUGUACAAUAUGGGCAUGUUUGUUUCACCGAAACUAGACUUUGGGUUGAAGUGGAGUUUGGUGAAAACUGUAUCUUCCCCGUUGUUUGUUUCGUAGUUAUGCAAGUAAAGUUUUAUUAGUUCUGCUGUUUAUUUAAUAGGAAGUGUAUGAUGUAAAGCUAUAAUUUAUGUACAAAUAAUAAAUAAUUUAAUAAAUAAAAAUAAUAUAAUUAUAUUUUUAUAUAAUUAAAAUUUAAUUUAAAAUAACUAUAUUAUUUUUUUAUACAUAAAUUAUAGUAAUACAACAAUAAAAUUACAAAGUAAAAAAAUAUUAAUACUUAAUUAAUUAAUUUUUAUCAUAUUUUAAUUGUACAAAUUAAAUAAAAAAAAAUUAAAAUUUAACUAAUCAAUUUUUACCAUAUUUUAAAUAUGUCAAUUGAAUAAAAGAUUAAUUAGUACCAUAAUUAAAUAUAUUUAAAUUUAAAUAUAACUAUUUUUAUCUAGUAUAUUAUUUUAUUUUAUUUUUUUCACCUCUCUUCACCGUAAUUAACUUCUGCCCAUCUUGGGCCAAAGUUUAUUACACCGUUUCAGAUUAACUCGAGUUUCGACCGUAACUUAUUUACGGUAAAACAAACAACGAAAGUGAUCAUUUACAGCGAAAGCGACUUCCCUACUUUCCACUUUCACCUCACUUCCACCCAAACAAACAUGCCCUAUAUAAAAGUUGCACUUUAUAAGAAUAUAUUUGUCAUUCAUUAUAUUUGCAAGGACCUGUAAGAAAUUAACCUUAAUUCUAAAUACAAUAUAGUUAAAAAUAUAUGCAGUUGAAAAUAUAGUAAAUACAACAAUAUGUAUCUUAUUUAGUUUGAUGUAGUAAAAAUCGUUGUAGCAAUAAAUAAUUAGUAUGGCUGCAUAUGGCUAUGAACUUGUAUUUAUAAAUUUUAUCUCUUUAUAU